AAUAACAAUCAGUAGAGAGCAGUGAAUGGGAGGGACUAAUGCUCCAUACAGUGAAGGCAGAAAUGGGUACCUUCCGGUUUAGGUUUAGAGAGAAAGACACGUGAGAGGCAAACACACGACACAAACUUUCCAUCAAUACAAAGCAGGAAUGAUAAGUGAAGAGAGAUCAGAUACCAAACCUUCACGAUACAAAACAACGAUGCAGCAACACAACACCAACCGCACACCGACGCACUAGUAACACUUCGCUCGAUAUAUCAUCCCUGGAACUUUCUCUGCAGUGUUGGCGAGGUAGCAGAAGCACUGUAUUUAAUAAUACUAGUGUUGCAUUGCACUGUGUGGCGUACCGGGUACAGGAGGGGCGAGAAAGUACGUAUGUGUAUAUAUAGUUCCUCUCAGUUCUCCCCUCGCCACACCUGAUCGCUCGCCCACUACACCACCACACCACCACCACACUAUCACAUCGCUAUAAGAGGGGAAAGCAGGUCUCAGUUACCAACCAUGCGGCGCCUCACGUUACUAAUCCUCCUGUGUAUGUGUGUUGUCCUCGCCGCCGCCCUUCCCCCGCCCCAGCACGCAACGCAGGUAGAGAGGGAAGGGAGAACGGUGAUUGUCGUUCUUCCGGAUCAGAUACCGAUACCAAACAUCAGGAAUAUUAUUGCAGCAUAUAAGCCAAAGGUGACAACAGAGGCGCCUUGAGGAGUUGUUGACCUAUGAAGUGAUACAAAGCGAAACACAUCAUACGGAGGACAGAAGAUGAAGGAAAGGAAGAAAAAAAAAAAAAAAACUCUUUUUCGUAUUCUGUAACGCCUGGUUCUUUCAUUAGGUGUAUCUGCAAAGGCCACAGAAGAUUAGUGUGAUUUUUUUUAUAUUGGUUUUAUUUCUACGUGUUUUGUAUAUUUGACGUUGAAUACCGCAAGCUUUUUGUUUUCUUUUUUCGUUUUUUUUUCUUCACGGAUUAAAAUGUGAAGAUCCGACACACAUUUUGUACUGAUGCUCAAUAUCUCAAGCUUUACUUAUUUGUUACAUCCUGUUGUUUUUACGAAUUAAAAGUGACAGUCUGCUGUA